CCUCGCCUCAGGACUGAUCCAGAAUUGGCCUUGGACGCAGCAAGGGGCUCGGGGGCCUCGCAGGCCUGAGGGCGGCCCAAGGAUCUACUGACUGAGGGACUCCUGACUGACAGGGGAGCUCCGCUUUCCUGGAAGCAGACUUUGCAAAGUCUCAAUGCAGCCAAUCAGUGAGGCAGAUAGAGCUUUCCCCUAUGGGCAUGUUCCUCUGGGGGCUGAUGCACAGCCGCCAGAGCCAAUCAGAAGCUGAAGGUGCAAUCCCUCCUCCCACUUCCGGUUCCGAGGACUUUUAAGGUCUUGAGCCAAUCAGCAGCCGAGGGCGGUGCCAGGUACGUUGGGGCACCAAUUUUCUUCUCAGCGAGGCCUUUCCUGUGCAAGUUCAUAAAACCAAGCUCCUC